AGAAGAGCUGUCUACUGAAGAGAACGCCACAAGGUCCCCUUCACGUUCAUCACCGCUGACCACAACCACUGCAGUAUCAUCUGCCAACACGCUGGCUGCCGUGGAGUGCAGAUGAUGGUAAUGAGUAUCGGUGAGAAUUUUAUCAAUUGAAAGAUUUUAUUUAUUUCAAAGAACAAAUCUGUAUCUAUAUUGAACUGAAUCGCGAUGACAGGUUCGUAUUUAUAAUGCAAUUCCCAGACUAAAAAAUUCUUAGAAUGUGGAGGAGGCGAAAAACAAUAUCUAAGAUUAAAGUAAUUAUAUUGACGGUGCUUUUUAACAGGCAGGAAGUGAAAGCUUGAAAUAGUUCGAUCGAAAAUUUAGACCGAAUUUAGACCCUGGGGCUGGUUGUUCAAAUUCAAAAGCAGGUUAGGUUAACCCUGGGUUAACAUAAAGUUCAAAGCAAACAUCUCUGCAGCUUGUUUAUAAACCUGGAAACAUUUUUUCAGAAAUCUUGUCUGGAUCAUAAAGGGCCGGUUGUUCAAAGCUGGGUUGGCUUAACCCUAGGUUAACCUAAAAUUCAAAGCAAACUUCCUGACAGCUUGUCUAUAAAUUUGGAAAUAUUUCUUCAGACAUCUUGUUUGGAUCGAUAGGAGUUUUCUCCUCUGAGGUUUUGAAAUAAACAGACGUGCAGAACAGGUGGGAAAUUUGUCUGAGCAUGCGCGAGCAAAAUGAGUCACGCAAUUGAGUGGAAUACACGCAACGCGUGUUUACAAAAAGGCACAAUCGUGUAAAUAUUGCCAAAUGUUUGUACAAAAUAAAUGACUGUUUUAUGUUGAAAAUGGACAUGAUCUAAAUUAAUCAUACAGAAUUUUUUAGUGACGUUCUAUUUCAGUACCCUGCCAUUGUCUCUGGUGGGCUGUCCGUGUGCAUUCGAUCUGAAACAGUUGCUACUUUGCUGUCGAAAAAUUUCGAAUGUUUACAUGAAAAUAGAGGCAAGUAAUGCAUUUUACAACCUCGUAAACUGUAUGAGCCCCUAUUUUUACGCUUAUACCUAAGAUAUCAAAUAAAAAUACAUGAAACAGAGAACAUUUUUAGAAAGUUUUAUCGUGAGGCCACGGCCAGUUUUUAAAAUAUCUUUAUUUCUGUUCCGG